rnacentral:misc_RNA from 1 species
GAAAUGCGAUAAGUAAAGUGAAUUGCAGAAUUCAGUGAAUCAUCGAAUCUUUGAACGCACAUUGCGCCCGCCAGCACUCUGGCGGGCAUGCCUGUUCGAGCGUCAUUUCAACCCUCAGAACCCCUUGCGGGAUCUGGCGUUGGGGAUUGGCAUCCAGCCAGCCCCGAAAUCUAGUGGCGGUCCCUCCGCGACCUCCCCUGUGCAGUAGCGAUACCUCGCAGCGGGACAGCGGUCUGACCACGCCGUAAAACCCCCAACUUCUCAAGGUUGACCUCGAAUCAGGUAGGAAUACCCGCUGAACUUAAGC